UACGUAGGGUGCGAGCGUUGUCCGGAAUUAUUGGGCGUAAAGAGCUUGUAGGCGGUUUGUCGCGUCUGCCGUGAAAUUUCGGGGCUCAACCCCGAACUUGCGGUGGGUACGGGCAGACUAGAGUGUGGUAGGGGAGACUGGAAUUCCUGGUGUAGCGGUGAAAUGCGCAGAUAUCAGGAGGAACACCGAUGGCGAAGGCAGGUCUCUGGGCCGCUACUGACGCUGAGAAGCGAAAGCAUGGGGAGCGAACAGG
rnacentral:rRNA from 1 species